AAAAGCGGAGGAAAAGAAACCAACUGGGAUUACCUUAGUAACGGCGAGUGAAGCGGUAAAAGCUCAAAUUUGAAAUCUGGUACUUUCAGUGCCCGAGUUGUAAUUUGUAGAAUUUGUCUUUGAUUAGGUCCUUGUCUAUGUUCCUUGGAACAGGACGUCAUAGAGGGUGAGAAUCCCGUUUGGCGAGGAUACCUUUUCUCUGUAAGACUUUUUCGAAGAGUCGAGUUGUUUGGGAAUGCAGCUCAAAGUGGGUGGUAAAUUCCAUCUAAAGCUAAAUAUUGGCGAGAGACCGAUAGCGAACAAGUACAGUGAUGGAAAGAUGAAAAGAACUUUGAAAAGAGAGUGAAAAAGUACGUGAAAUUGUUGAAAGGGAAGGGCAUUUGAUCAGACAUGGUGUUUUUUGCAUGCACUCGCCUCUCGUGGGCUUGGGCCUCUCAAAAAUUUCACUGGGCCAACAUCAAUUCUGGCAGCAGGAUAAAUCAUUAAGAAUGUAGCUACUUCGGUAGUGUUAUAGCUUUUUGGAAUACUGUUAGCCGGGAUUGAGGACUGCGCUUCGGCAAGGAUGUUGCAUAAUGUACCAGGCUA
rnacentral:rRNA from 1 species